GCCAGAGUGGUGAAAUUGGUAGACACAGGAGAUUCAAAAUCUCCCGCCAGCAAUGGUGUGCCGGUUCGAGUCCGGCCUCUGGUACCA
rnacentral:tRNA from 7 species